AUGAACGCUGGCGGCGUGCCUAAUACAUGCAAGUCGAGCGAACAGACGAGGAGCUUGCUCCUCUGACGUUAGCGGCGGACGGGUGAGUAACACGUGGAUAACCUACCUAUAAGACUGGGAUAACUUCGGGAAACCGGAGCUAAUACCGGAUAAUAUAUUGAACCGCAUGGUUCAAUAGUGAAAGACGGUUUUGCUGUCACUUAUAGAUGGAUCCGCGCCGCAUUAGCUAGUUGGUAAGGUAACGGCUUACCAAGGCGACGAUGCGUAGCCGACCUGAGAGGGUGAUCGGCCACACUGGAACUGAGACACGGUCCAGACUCCUACGGGAGGCAGCAGUAGGGAAUCUUCCGCAAAGGGCGAAAGCCUGACGGAGCAACACCGCGUGAGUGAUGAAGGUCUUCGGAUCGUAAAGCUCUGUUAUUAGGGAAGAACAAAUGUGUAAGUAACUAUGCACGUCUUGACGGUACCUAAUCAGAAAGCCACGGCUAACUACGUG
rnacentral:rRNA from 1 species